UGACUGGUGCAGACGGUCGCGUGCCUUCGGGCAUGAGGAAAGUCCGGGCUGCACAGGGCAAGGAUAACGGAUAACGUCCGCCGAGGGUGACCUUAGGAAUAGUGCAACAGAGAUAUACCGCCGUUUUACGCCUCGCGUAAAGCGGUAAGGGUGGAAAGGCGAGGUAAGAGCUCACCGCGUCCCGUGGUAACACGGGAGGCCUGUAAACUCUAUCCGCAGCAACGCCGACUGGGACUACGAUUUGCCCGAUCGUCCCGACUGGCGGCUUGAGAUGCACGGCAACGUGCAUUCGAGAUAGAUGACCGUCCACGACAGAACCCGGCUUACGCACCAGUCAUGCC
rnacentral:RNase_P_RNA from 1 species